rnacentral:rRNA from 1 species
UACAGAGGUGGCAAGCGUUGUUCGGAAUUACUGGGCGUAAAGGGCGCGUAGGCGGCCUUCUAAGUCAGACGUGAAAUCCCCAGGCUUAACUUGGGAACUGCGUCUGAUACUGGGAGGCUUGAGUGCGGGAGAGGGAUGUGGAAUUCCAGGUGUAGCGGUGAAAUGCGUAGAUAUCAGGAGGAACACCAAUGGCGAAGGCAGCUCGCUGGGACGGUACUGACGCUGAGGCGCGAAAGCGUGGGAGCAAACAGG